rnacentral:tRNA from 1 species
ACACCGUCUUGCCGAGGCGCGCGGUCGCGAACCUGAGCAGUUCGACGGUCUCCCGGGCCGGGGGCACGUCGGCGAUCAGCGCCUCGGCGGCGUU